UUUUGGAGCAGAGUGAGCUGGGAGGGGGUAAGAUGUGACUGGCAGAGCCAAGACCGUGGGAAAGGGAGGGCUGCGCACAGCGCAGCGGGCAACAGGAGGCCAAGGGAGAAGGCGGUCACAGCCUGGAAAAGAGAUUCUGAAAUGCCCUGCUGGGCAAAGAAGAGUCCAGAAAUCCUAUUUUCAUUCAUUUGUGGGGAAUUUGGACCCCAAGAGGCCAUAGCCAGAAGUCCAAGCUAAGAUGUCUAUUUGGAGACGCAGUUCCUCCAAGGAUCUCCCAAGAGCGUCAGGGGAAAGAAAAGAAACAGCUCCAAUUUUCGAAGCAGACUGUAACUUACUAAGCCUUCUCUCACCUCUCUGGUCUGGAGAACUGACUGAGGCCUGGUGUGGAAGAUCAUCUCCAUUGUAUUAAGGAGCCCACUGAGGCUCUGGACUCUGUGACUCACCCCAGGUCUCGCGGAAGGGCCAGGGGUUCACCCUCACUCCCUCACUCCUGCGUUGCUGUGAAGCCGCUCUCACCUGCCUGCACAGGCACAGUGGGGCCUGGCACAAGGGACACUCUCAUUGACAGUAAGUUACAGCACUGAGAGGCUGUCUGUAGGCAGAGUGCAAUUCUGGGGGCCCCCGAAGGAGCCCAAGUUGGGCCUCUGGGGCUCAGAGAACUGAGGGACAGCUGGCAGGCCAUGUGAGGGAGGGGGCCCAAGGUGGGAGGGCAAAGCCACAGGGCAGGGUAGCUUGGAGGUCCCCUCUCCAGCAGCCACAUACAAUUUCUCCCUUUCCCUUUCACAUAGGCAUGGCCUUGCCCAGGUGGGCACAUGUGACACCUCAGCCAUGCCAGGUCUUAGAAGGAUGGUGGCAUUAGGGCCUCUGGAACCUGUCUGGCCUCAUCAGCACAGUAGACUGGAGGGAAGGUCCUAGCACCAGCUGCUCCCUUCUCAGUCUCUUCUAGGGAAGGGAAAGGAGAAUUUGGCUGUGCCCCAUCCCCACAUCAUGGGGCCCUUCGGGCAAGAGGGGCUGGCUGAAAGCUGUUCCCUGUAUGAACAUUCAGAGACCUAAGGAAAUGUGUGCCCUGUACCUCCCCAUGCAGCCUCUCCCCAAGAGCACAUCCUGCUGGCACUCAGAAAGGGGGCUCCUGCAUGUGGGGCACAGGCUCCCGCCUCCCUACUCUGUCCCUAAGGCUGCUGCCUUUAUCGGGAAGGGAGGCCUCCUGGCCACCCAGGGGGUGUCCGAUGGAAGGGCAGCAUGGAGAAGAGGGCUACAGGUGACGCCCAGCCCCUCUCCAGGAGGGCUCCCAGCCUCCCAGGACCCACCUGAGCUGAAGGACAGGGGCGGAAGGGUAGGGGCAAUUCUUUCAGGAGCUGAGUUUGGCCUGAACUUUUCUCCAGAAACAGCCAGAAAACAGUGGCGGCCCUGUGUGCUUCUCUAGCCUUUGUCUCAGGCAGGCUGGAGCCCAGGUCCCAGGCCUUUCUGGACCAGCCUGCUUUGGAAUGAGCCAGCUCUGUUGGGGACCCUGUAUGUUACCAGCUAAGCUUUUGGGUCACAGGCCCUAAACCACCUGCUUCUCCCUCCUUCUCAAGCUGUUCCCUUAACUCCUGCAGGCUGAGGAAGCCCCAAAGCCCUUGACUUUCUUACCUGUCACGCAAAAUGUUCACACCUUUCUGAAGUCUCUGGGGACCACUAGAAAGGCAAAGAGCUGAGGAUCUGCCUGGGUCUGCCCGGCAGUGACAACAUCUUGUAGGAGUUUGAGCAAAUGUCAGCUCUUCAGUUACUUUAAAAAACACAAUCAGGCCAGGCACAGUGGCUCACGCCUGUAAUCCUAGCACUUUGGGAGGCUGAGGCAGGUGGAUCACCUGAGUUCAAGAGUUCGAGACCAGCCUGGCCAACAUGGUGAAACUCCGUCUCUACUAAAAAUACAAAAAUUAGCCGGGCAUGGUGGUGCAUGCCUGUAAUCCCAGCUACUCAGGAGGCCGAGGCAAGAGAAUCGCUUGAACCCGGAAGGCGGAGGUUGCAGUGAGCCAAGAUUGUGCCAUUGCACUCUAGCCUGGGCGACAGAGCAAGACUCUGUCUCAAAACAGAACAAAACACAACAAACAAACAAAACCUAAAACCUAAAAUAAAUAAAAUUAAAAAAUCAAAACAAAAAACAAAUGUUCUUAUGGUGAAAACAUUUGCAAUCUCCUUUUAAGUCAAGGAGUCGAGUUUACGAGUGAGACUAAGAGGACAUACCCAAAAGGGUCAGGGACAUACUUUGUGAUUAGGGGAAAGAAGGGCUGCAGGCAGAGUUUGAUCCAGCCAAGCAGGGGAUGAGAACACUGGAGCACCAAGUGCAGGAAGGGCCAGGUCUGAGCAUUGCUUGAGAUGUCUGUUCUGAGUCCCUCUGGGUAUCCAACUCCAGGCUGCACUCACAGCUCAAGAAAUGCUGGCCCAGGCAGGGCCCAGAUGUGGCUCAACAUGGAAGGUCAGAUAUGGCUGGUGUUUUCCUCCUGGGAACACGGGUCCUUUCCCCAGGCUUCUGGCUUCUGAAAGGUGGCCUGGGGGUGGACAAUGCCUUUGCUAGGUGCAGAGGGGCAGCCCCGCAGAGGUUCCUGAUAUCUGGGUUAACAGUAGGCACUGUGUGCCUUCCAGGAAUCAAUCACACACGCAACAGCUUCGGCAGAGGCAGCGGCUUGUGUUGUUGCUUUUCUUGAAAAUUUGUAAAAAUGAGAGGGAUCAAGAGGAAGGUAGGCGCUCUCCCAACACCCGCUUCUCUGGGCUCCAGGCUGGGUGAGCUGCGGAUUCAGCCUGGCUCUGGAACAGCUGUGCCGAGCUGCUCUGCCUGGAAUUCUGUGUCAGUGUCUGUGUGCUAUUUUGUUUCCCCAGGAGCCAAAGUUAACAAUAAAAUCUAAGUUUACAAGACACCUUGGCUACAAACGCAGCAGCAAGCUUGUUUGCUCCCUGUCUCCUCCUCUAAUAGGAUGUUAAAUAAACGAUUAGCAAUCAUGGAAAUCUUCCGGAAACUUCCAUUCUUGUAGGGGUGGAAUCUGCGAGGUGCACAGGCAAUACCGACAUAUCCGGCAGAGUCCCCUGCCCUCUGCGGACGCUGUGGACCUCUUACUGAACGCCUGUUUCUUUAAGGCUUCUCUCUUCUGGGGUUGCGUGGGGGUCAUUGCUCUAAGAGCUAUGUUUUGCUUACACAAUGGGGAG
rnacentral:lncRNA from 1 species